AACGAACGCUGGCGGCGUGCCUAACACAUGCAAGUCGUGCGAGAAAGUUCCUUCGGGAGCGAGUAAAGCGGCGCACGGGUGAGUAACACGUAGGUAACCUGCCCCCCCAGUCUGGAACAACUAGAGGAAACUCUAGCUAAUGCCGGAUGAGACCACGAUCCCUUCGGGGGUUGCGGCCAAAGAUGGCCUCUACUUGUAAGCUAUCGCUGAGGGAUGGGCCUGCGGGCCAUUAGCUUGUUGGUGAGGUAACGGCUCACCAAGGCUGUGAUGGCUAGCUGGUCUGAGAGGAUGACCAGCCACACUGGGACUGAGACACGGCCCAGACUCCUACGGGAGGCAGCAGUGGGGAAUAUUGCGCAAUGGGCGAAAGCCUGACGCAGCGACGCCGCGUGGGUGAUGAAGGCCU
rnacentral:rRNA from 1 species